GUGCCAGCAGCCGCGGUAAUACGUAGGUGGCAAGCGUUGUCCGGAUUUAUUGGGCGUAAAGCGAGCGCAGGCGGUUUUUUAAGUCUGAUGUGAAAGCCUUCGGCUCAACCGAAGAAGUGCAUCGGAAACUGGGAAACUUGAGUGCAGGAGAGGACAGUGGAACUCCAUGUGUAGCGGUGAAAUGCGUAGAUAUAUGGAAGAACACCAGUGGCGAAGGCGGCUGUCUGGUCUGUAACUGACGCUGAGGCUCGAAAGUAUGGGUAGCAAACAGGAUUAGAUACCCUGGUAGUCCAUACCGUAAACGAUGAAUGCUAAGUGUUGGAGGGUUUCCGCCCUUCAGUGCUGCAGCUAACGCAUUAAGCAUUCCGCCUGGGGAGUACGGCCGCAAGGCUGAAACUCAAAGGAGUUGACGGGGGCCCGCACAAGCGGUGGAGCAUGUGGUUUAAUUCGAAGCUACGCGAAGAACCUUACCAGGUCUUGACAUACUAUGCAAAUCUAAGAGAUUAGACGUUCCCUUCGGGGACAUGGAUACAGGUGGUGCAUGGUUGUCGUCAGCUCGUGUCGUGAGAUGUUGGGUUAAGUCCCGCAACGAGCGCAACCCUUAUUAUCAGUUGCCAGCAUUAAGUUGGGCACUCUGGUGAGACUGCCGGUGACAAACCGGAGGAAGGUGGGGAUGACGUCAAAUCAUCAUGCCCCUUAUGACCUGGGCUACACACGUGCUACAAUGGAUGGUACAACGAGUUGCGAACUCGCGAGAGUAAGCUAAUCUCUUAAAGCCAUUCUCAGUUCGGAUUGUAGGCUGCAACUCGCCUACAUGAAGUCGGAAUCGCUAGUAAUCGCGGAUCAGCAUGCCGCGGUGAAUACGUUCCCGGGCCUUGUACACACCGCCCGU
rnacentral:rRNA from 1 species